GAUGAACGCUGGCGGCGUGCUUAACACAUGCAAGUCGAACGAAAAGGCCCUGCUUUUGCUGCUUGCUCGUGUGGCGAACGGGUGUGAAACACGUGAGUAACCUCUACUUGUCUUUGGGAUAUCUUCACGGGACUGGGGCUCUAAUCGGGUAGAAGCUCUUGCUCCGUGUGGGGCGUUGGUGAGUUUCGGCUGUGGUGGCUGGAUUGGCGGGUUAUCCGCUUGUUGGUGUGGUAGGUGCUGACCAAGGCUUUGAGGGAUAGCCGGCCUGAGAGGGUGACCGGGCACAAUGGGACUGAGAUACGCAGCAGACGCGUACGGGAGGCAGUAGGGGGGAAUAUUGCAGAGUGGGCGGACGCCUGAGGCAGAGACGCCGCGUGCGGGAUGCCGGCCUUCGGGUUGUAAACCGCUUUCGCCUGUGACGAAGCGUGAGUGACGGUAAUGGGUAAAGAAGCACCGGCUAACUACGUG
rnacentral:rRNA from 1 species